rnacentral:rRNA from 1 species
UGAGGAAUAUUGGUCAAUGGGCGCAAGCCUGAACCAGCCAAGUAGCGUGAGGGAAGACUGCCCUACGGGUUGUAAACCUCUUUUGUUUGGGAAUAAAGUGCGGGACGCGUCCCGCAUUGCAUGUACCAUUUGAAUAAGGACCGGCUAAUUCCGUGCCAGCAGCCGCGGUAAUACGGAAGGUCCGGGCGUUAUCCGGAUUUAUUGGGUUUAAAGGGAGCGUAGGCCGGAGGGUAAGCGUGUUGUGAAAUGCAGUUGCUCAACAUCUGCACUGCAGCGCGAACUGUUCUCCUUGAGUGCGCAGGAAGUAGGCGGAAUUCGUCGUGUAGCGGUGAAAUGCUUAGAUAUGACGAAGAACUCCGAUUGGGAAGCCAGCUUACUGUAGCGCCACUGACGCUGAUGCUCGAAAGUGCGGGUAUCGAACAGGAUUAGAUACCCUGGUAGU